rnacentral:rRNA from 1 species
GACGAACGCUGGCGGCGUGCUUAACACAUGCAAGUCGAACGGAAAGGCCCUGCUUGCCGGGUACUCGAGUGGCGAACGGGUGAGUAACACGUGGGUGAUCUGCCCUGCACUUCGGGAUAAGCUUGGGAAACUGGGUCUAAUACCGGAUAGGAGCCAUCUUUAGUGUGGUGGUUGGAAAGUUUUUUCGGUGUAGGAUGAGCUCGCGGCCUAUCAGCUUGUUGGUGGGGUAAUGGCCUACCAAGGCGGCGACGGGUAGCCGGCCUGAGAGGGUGUACGGCCACAUUGGGACUGAGAUACGGCCCAGACUCCUACGGGAGGCAGCAGUGGGGAAUAUUGCACAAUGGGCGCAAGCCUGAUGCAGCGACGCCGCGUGGGGGAUGAAGGCCUUCGGGUUGGAAACUCCUUUCGCUAGGGACGAAGCUUUUUGUGACGGUACCUAGAUAAGAAGCACCGGCUAACUACGUG